rnacentral:rRNA from 1 species
UAAGCCCACGGUACCGCAUGGUACUGAGGGAAAAGGAUUUAUUCGCUCUAGGAUGGACUCGCGUCCAAUUAGCUAGUUGGUGAGGUAACGGCCCACCAAGGCGACGAUUGGUAGCCGGACUGAGAGGUUGAACGGCCACAUUGGGACUGAGAUACGGCCCAGACUCCUACGGGAGGCAGCAGUGGGGAAUAUUGCACAAUGGGCGCAAGCCUGAUGCAGCGACGCCGCGUGCGGGAUGACGGCCUUCGGGUUGUAAACCGCUUUUGACUGGGAGCAAGCCCUUCGGGGUGAGUGUACCUUUCGAAUAAGCACCGGCUAACUACGUGCCAGCAGCCGCGGUAAUACGUAGGGUGCAAGCGUUAUCCGGAAUUAUUGGGCGUAAAGGGCUCGUAGGCGGUUCGUCGCGUCCGGUGUGAAAGUCCAUCGCUUAACGGUGGAUCCGCGCCGGGUACGGGCGGGCUUGAGUGCGGUAGGGGAGACUGGAAUUCCAGGUGUAACGGUGGAAUGUGUAGAUAUCGGGAAGAACACCAAUGGCGAAGGCAGGUCUCUGGGCCGUCACUGACGCUGAGGAGCGAAAGCGUGGGGAGCGAACAGGAUUAGAUACCCUGGUAGUCCACGCCGUAAACGGUGGAUGCUGGAUGUGGGGACCAUUCCACGGUCUCCGUGUCGGAGCCAACGCGUUAAGCAUCCCGCCUGGGGAGUACGGCCGCAAGGCUAAAACUCAAAGAAAUUGACGGGGGCCCGCACAAGCGGCGGAGCAUGCGGACUAAUUCGAUGCAACGCGAAGAACCUUACCUGGGCUUGACAUGUGCCGGAUCGCCCCGGAAACGGGGUUUCCCUUCGGGACCGGUUCACAGGUGGUGCAUGGUCGUCGUCAGCUCGUGUCGUGAGAUGUUGGGUUAAGUCCCGCAACGAGCGCAACCCUCGCCGCAUGUUGCCAGCGGGUUAUGCCGGGAACUCAUGUGGGACCGCCGGGGUCAACUCAGAGGAAGGUGGGGAUGACGUCAGAUCAUCAUGCCCCUUACGUCCAGGGCUUCACGCAUGCUACAAUGGCCGGUACAACGGGAUGCGACACCGCGAGGUGGAGCGGAUCCCUUAAAACCGGUCUCAGUUCGGAUUGGAGUCUGCAACCCGACUCCAUGAAGGCGGAGUCGCUAGUAAUCGCGGAUCAGCAACGC